UACGUAGGGGGCUAGCGUUAUCCGGAAUUACUGGGCGUAAAGGGUGCGUAGGUGGUUUCUUAAGUCAGAGGUGAAAGGCUACGGCUCAACCGUAGUAAGCCUUUGAAACUGGGAAACUUGAGUGCAGGAGAGGAGAGUGGAAUUCCUAGUGUAGCGGUGAAAUGCGUAGAUAUUAGGAGGAACACCAGUUGCGAAGGCGGCUCUCUGGACUAUAACUGACACUGAGGCACGAAAGCGUGGGGAGCAAACAGG
rnacentral:rRNA from 1 species